UGUAGCAUUACUCAGCCCUUUUUUUCUGGAAGUGUCCUCAUUUUUCUGAUGAAAAUGACCAAGCAGAACCCCCAUAAGGUGGGCUCAAAAUAGUUGUUAUUGUGGCUGUGUCUGAAAUAGCAUUUAAUGAGAGCUGACUGAAGCUUCUGAAUGGCUUUAAAGUGACAUUCAGGAGAAAAAGAAGAUGCCCUGCUCUCAGCACGAAGACUGCUGUUCUACAGUGUGUUUGUUCUGUCUGUCUUGUUGUCUCGGUCUUACUCAGAACUGGUUUGUCCUGUCUAGUUUGUAAAGCUUUAACUCAUUGUAGCUGGGAUUGCAGCCAGCCUAAUGAAGUCUUUUAUGUUUCUCAGGUACAGUUAUCAUCCUUUUUGUGUGUACUCUGCUCUAUUCUUUGUCUAAGAUUAUAUACAAGCAUAGUGCUACAGUGCUAUAUUAAUAUAAAGUUGUUAUGUUGAUUUUUUACUUAUGGGAUUAAAUGAAAUGAAGUAGCUUCAGGCAUUUUGAUCAUAUGUACUGUAUAAUCCCAGAUUAAGUUCAUUUAUAAGAAAAGGCUGAAUCAACAGGAAGCUGAAAGAGAAUCAGGUGUUAAAGUGUAAAUUCCAUGUUGCCUGCAUGCAUGUUUUGGAAAAGGCAGAAGUGAGAGACAGUAGAAUGUGUGUGUGUGUGUGUGUGUGUGUGUGUGUGUGUGUGUGUGUGUGUGUGUGUGUGUGUGUGUGUGCGUGUGUGUGUGUGUGUGUUGAUGGUGGUAAUGGAUAUGUUUUUAUAACUUGGUAUGGACCAAAUGCCCUCACAAGUUUAAAACUGGCAGCUGUUCCUAUCUUUGUGGGGACAUUUGACCAAGAUAUAACAACAUGCCAUUUAUUUAUUUAUUUUAACCAAAAUAUUUGACUGGUCCCCAUGAGGAAAACUGCCUUUUGUAAAGCUGUGCCUUUUAUUUAAAAAGAACUAAUAGAACCCAUAGGUUUAAGUGUUAGGUUUAAUAAUUAUGUCAAUGGAAGUUCCUCACAAGGAUAGUAAUACCAACUCCAACAUGUUUUUUGCUGUCAACAUAUACAGUAUAUGCUUGCAUGUGUAUAUUAGAACAAAAUACAAAAGAAUUAAAAGUGUGUGUGAGUAAUAAAUUCACACAGCAGGAGGUUCAUGUUGUUUAGGAAUGUAAAUUUUUUUUCUGUGUGUGUGUAUAUGUGUGUGUGUGAGUGUGUGUGAGUGUGUGUAUGAGUCAAGGCACUCCCUGUACCAUGCGGUAAUGACGUGAGCAGGACAGGUCUGAACAGACCAGGAAAAAUACUGAAGGGUUGGGACCCGGCACCGGAACUCUUAAAUAAGGAACUUAUGCAUUUCUCUCAUUGGAGCUUCAUUUUAGGUGUGGCAAAUAGAAAGAAGCCAGAAAAGGCUGAGCAGCCCAAGCAAAAGACGACUUCUUCCUUUUCUGAAGUGGACCUGAAUUACGGGAGAUCUUUCUCAGAUUGCAUCAGUCUGGCUGACAUAAACCGUAGGGGGUGCAGGCAUCUAAACCGCAGCUCAAAGCAUCACUGAAUGAGACAUAUCACAAAUCCAUGAGACUACUGUAGCUGGGGUGUGGGUAGGAUGGAUUUUUAAAAGUGAGCUAAACAGAUCUUUGUCCCUUUUAUUAAUUACUAUUUUUGAAUAUAAACUGAUUCAGCUUUACAAAACCAACCUGCAUGAUUAAAUGGUAUGCACUUAUAUAGCGCUUUUUUUCAAGGCACUUUACACUGUGUCUCAUUCACCCAUUCACACUCAUGGUACCAGAGCUGCCAUGCAAGGGGCUAACUUGCCAUUGGGAGCAACCUGGGGUUCAGUGUCUUACCCAAGGACACUUCGGCACGUGGAGUCACGUGGGAUUAGUGGACAACCCGCUCUACCACCUGAGCCACAGCCGCCAAUUAACCUCUUAAACUUAAGAAAUGUAAAGGGAGAGAGUUGAAGUUGGGGGCAGCUGUAAUUACAAAGUUAAUUAGUUAACUUUGACAAAAAAUGUGACAUGAGACAUUGAGAUUAUAUGCAUUCAUUGUGCUUAAAUGUGUACACUACUUAUGUCAUUCAUUCCUUCAUUCAUUUAUCUUCAGCAGCCACUAUUCUGGUCAACAUACAUUCACGCAUUCAUUCAUACCUAGGGGAAAUUUAGUAUAGUCAAUCCACCAAGUAGCAGUUUGUCAGAGCUGAAACUGGGAGAAAACCCACAGAGACACAAGGAGAACAUGCAAAAAUCCACACAGACAGUAACUGGAGUUCAGAAUCGAACUGUGGAUCCUGGAACUGUGAAAUGCAACCUACCCACUGUGCCAGGAUAUCACCCUUAUUUUAUGUUGUGUUAUGUCAUGUCACGCUACGUUAAGUUGCAUUAUGUUACAUUACAUUACAUUAUAUUAUGUUAUGUUAUUUGUGAAUAUGUAAAUGUAAUGGAUUUCAACAUAUGCUUCAUUCAAGCAUGCAAAAAAAACACAAAAGGGUGGAUGAAGUUGCGUUUUUUGACGGACAUGAGUCAUAGGCCUUACAAAGCUAGAGCGGAAUGAAAUCUUGGUUAAAAGAGAAGUAGAUCUCUUCCGUGAGAUGGAUAACGAAAAAUGCUCCAUGCAGCACCUCCAGUGUGAAUUGGCUUUAAGGUUUGUAAUCCAGUAAAUACAUAGAAAACAUACAAAAUGAUUAAGCUAAUGUGAUAUUAUAAGCGUGAGGAGUGAUAGACCAGGAGAUUAAACCUUAAAAUGCUAAUUUAUAUAAAAAGGAAUUUUUCUUAAAUGUAUCAAGUUUCAAGCUUUUCAUGUGAAUAGACAACAUGAUUUGGAUAAAACAACAAGUCUACUGAAAGCAGUUCAAUAAUCACAUAUCAAAAUGGGGCUUGUAUGAUGUGAAAGGAGAAACUUUAAUAAAGAUGACUGUGUCAGAGUUCACUUCCUUAGCAGGCUCAGCACCCAAAAGGAAGCUAAACCAAUAGGCUGAACUCUGGUAAUCUGGGAAUUUUUUAAAUAGUAAAUGCAGAAUGCACACAUUUGCAGGUUCAGGUUUUCUAAAGGGAAUCAAUACUGAAAGUACUUUAGCCAUACACUUUUUGUUGUAACUCCUAAAUUCCUAUUUGUGUAUAAUUCCCCUUUGGUUCUAGAUCCCUAGAUUUGCCUAUGUUAUAUACACUAAAUGUGUAUGGACACCUGACUAUCACACAUACAAUACGUGGGUCUUCCCCAAAAUGGUGCCACAAAGGUGGACACACAAUUAUCUAGAAUGUCUUUCUAUCCUGUAGAAUUACAGCUUCCCCUCAGUUACACUAAGGGACCCAAACAUGUUCCAGCAAUGCCCUGUGCACAAAACAAGGCUCAUAAAGAUAUAGUUUGCCAAGGUUGAUGUGGAAAAACUCAAGUGGCCUGACAUCAACCCUACUGAACACCUCUGGGAUGAACUGGCAUGCCAAAUUUACAUCAGGCCUCCUUGCCCAAUAUCAUCUCCUGACCUCACUAAUGCUCUUGUGUCUGAAUGAGCAAAUACCCAUAGGCAUGUACCAAAGUCUACUGGAAACCUUCCCAGAAGAGUAGACGUUAUUAUAACAGCAAAGUAGUAGACUAAAUCUGGAAUGGGAUGUUCAAAAAGCACAUAUGAUGAUUUUUACUUUACUUUACUUAUGUAGAGUUCACCAAGCAUGCCAUUUUGAACCCAUUCACACUGAAUACAUUUAUAUUUGUAGUCUAACACACAUCUGAUUGACUGGAGUGAAAUCUGAUUGCUGUAUUGCACCUGAUAUACAAAUGAAAUGAAGUAAACAAAAUAAAACAUGUUUAUUUCAAAACAA
ensembl:lncRNA